AUGCCCGGUUCAACAAAUAUCUGUUUCCUCCCUCUUUCUAGGAUGAGUGGAGUUCUGCCUGGAGGUGAAGAUUCGAACCAAAGCAAUAAUUGUUCUUUAGGUAAACCUCAGCGGUUAGCAACUCUCCAGUGCCCCACAAUGAUGAAUGGAGAGUUGGACCUCUCCGGUGCCAUUCCUAAGUUCGGUUUGCCUGCUUGUAAAAGAUGUGCUUUGCAAAGUGCUUUAUACAUAAACCACUUUUUCACCAAACCACAGAUGUUUGCCUUUUCAUGUU
rnacentral:lncRNA from 1 species